UAUUCAUGUACAUUUUGAUUGCCUUCAGUAAAAAUGGCAAAAUUUCAAUUUCUUUUUUUUUUCUGUUAUUAAUCCUUGAUUACAUUCAUAUAGUAUACAGUAGAGGAAAAAACCUACCAGAUGUGUAAAGUAGUAGUAAUACUGAAAAAAGGGACAAAAGCACACACAGUCACAGCUGAUUUUAUGACACUUUUACAGCUAAAACAAUAUAUAAUUCCGGUUAUCCUGCGUAACAUUAUUGGGGAUAAAGGGUUAAGGAACCGCAAUUAAUUUUUUUAGUUUAGCUUGUGUUUACUACCAUAUUUUUUUUAUCACCACACAGUAAACAUUAAGUAAUAUGUAAAGCGUCCAUUUAUCCUCCAUUCCGGUCCAUUAUCUUAAGCUUAGGCUGCUGCCCCUCAACCCAAUCCGGUACUAAGUAGAGAGGCCCAGACUUCGCUCUCUCCAGGCACUUGGGCCAAGGCAGUCCCAGGCCAGCCGAAAAACAUUGUCCCUCCAGCAUGUCCUGGGUGUUCUGGGUCUCUUCCUGGUGGGACAUGCCCAAAACACCUCACCAGGGAGGCAUCCUAACCAGAUGCCAUUAUCUAAUCUGUCCUUUUUGUAUGUUCCCCUCAGGUUGCCAUGGUAGCAGAUACAGGGGGAACAAGUGUAGACGAUGCCACAAGAAGGAUGAUGAAAUUCCUCAUAUGACCUGAGCUGGCUGUGGAGUACAACAUGCUUGGCCGACAUGGGAAAAAAAAGUUCAGAGAUUUACGUCUUUUUAAUGUUGUGUAUGAGGCACUGAAGAAGAAUUAUUUAACAUCAAAAGUCAACUUGCAAGAAGCAGAGAAGGCUCUCUCCAAGUGGUUCACUGGAGCUAAAGACAGAGGAGGACCGAGGGCUGCAAGGGUACAAAAUAGACUUACGGCUCUGUAAAAAAACAAAAAAAGAAACCCUGCUGAUUCAAGAUAAGCUUUUGAGUUUUCCAUCUGACUUUUUCUCACUGUUGCAACAGUUCCGAAUAUAUAAGGAAUUUUGAUGUAGUUUGACAUUUCUAGUUUUUUAAAAGUUUACGCACUUUGGAAUACAGUUACGUAAAAUCACAGUUGUUGGACAAAAUAAAUGUGAAAAAUGUUGUUUUGUGUACCCUUGUGAUUUUUGAAAUGGUUUUAUUUACAAACUAGUUUUUGUUUGUGGUCAGCUUUAAUAUAUUUGGUGUCUUUGUGUCACAGAACCCGUAUUAGCUGUCUGAAAAAUUGAUUUUGUGACUGUUUUACUACAUGGGGCCCACUCAGUGCCAGAAAUUAGCCAAUUCAAACUAGAAGUAAGAUGCAACUACAGAACCCACUGAUAAUGCCAUUCCAACUUUUUAGCUCGUGUUUUCCUCAUGUUGUACCCACUAAGAACUUGAAAGGUGGGGCCCGGGUGGGUUUCUGUGUACUUUGCCUAGUUGGGGCCCAUUUAGUUCCCAGAUUUUACCAAUAUAACACCGAGAUGGGCUUUUAAAAUGGGGCCAUUAUGGAACCCGCGGACAAUCCCACUUAAAACCCACUUUUUAGCCUAUGUGGUAACCACAUGGUACCCACAAAAACUUGAAAGAUGGGGCCCAGGUGGGUUUCUGUGUACUUUGCCUAGUUGGGGCCCAUUUAGUUCCCAGAUUCUACCAAUAUAACACCGAGAUGGGCUUUUAAAAUGGGGCCAUUAUGGAACCCGCGGACAAUCCCACUUAAAACCCACUUUUUAGCCUUUGUGGUACCCACAUGGUACCCACAAAAACUUGAAAGAUGGGGCCCAGGUGGGUUUCUGUGUACUUUGCCCAGUUGGGGCCCAUUUAGUUCCCAGAUUUUACCAAUAUAACACCUAUAUGGGCAUUUAAUAUGGGGCCAUUACGGAACCCGCGGACAAUCCUAUAUGGGGCCCAUUUUUCAGCCCAUUUCCAAACCAUAUGGGCCCCACAUAUAAAUGUUGGCUGGGAUGUGAGCUGGAGUGUUCUGAGACGUUAUAUUUGGUAUAUCCAGACCAUCCGUCUGCUCUUACUUCGGAAACAUGGCUUAAAAAAUUUCUCUUCAACGACGUAAUCCGAUAAAAAAAACGAUCUCUUUACCCGUCGGCUUCUCGUGGCUGUCAUGCGACCGGCUAUUGCAGUUAAUAAUACAACAGCUUCUUGCCAUUUUUUGGGUUUCUUUUUAUCGCUGUGUAACUGAGUUCAAUUGAAAGCCUGCGUGCGCUAGUACCUCUUGCCUCAAGUUCCCAUAAUCCUUUGCGGUUUUACCCCUGAAUGACGUCACAUUUUCAAUCUCUAUCCUGGUGGGCCGGUCUCUAGCCAAAAUGCCCGGGCCGAUUUUUUGUCCCAGUCCAGCCCUGAGCACCACAUUCAUAAAAACCUUAGCAUUGUUGCAGAUGAACAUUCAUACAGAUUUUUCUUACCUUGUCUUCCAGUUCUUGCAAAUGUAUCUGAGCUCCUCUCAAAUGUUCUGCUCAUCUGUGACUGGUAACUAUGUUCUAUAACCUGGGUACCAGGUAGCUGCUAUAUAUAGUACAAAGCCACAUGCCACACCCAGGGAGGAUUUGUGGGUAUAUGUAUACACCCACCAAAAGACCUGUAGGAUGAGAAAAUCAAAGUGAGUAGUAUGCUAUGAUCAAAAUGUGAGAAGGAAUCAUUAUGGGUAAUAUAUACUGUCACAUAAAAAGGUAAAUGGGAAUUGGGUAUAUUUAAGAUGUUUAGAUGGAAGAAAAUUAAGAAUGAAGCUAAUAAAGAAAAAAUAGGGACUAUGUUAAGAGUAUAUUAUUGUAUAUUUGAUGUCCCUGGAACUUCAUGAGGAAGAAUGUCUACAAUGACUUAGGUUAUUGUUUUCUAACUUUCUUGCAGCAGUAUCUUUUUACUGCAAAGGUUGGACAUUUCUGGUAAAGGGUGGGGUGAGUUCAUAUGAACAGAAAUGUUACUGGCAACAGGCCAGUUACUUUCUUUACCCAUAACUUUGUAACACAGUAAGUACAGUGUAAAAAAUGAAGGUCAACUAGUAAAUUUAUUUAAAACUACGACUCAAUUGAAAAAAAGUUCUAUUAACAUGUCAUGUAAGGAAUUUAAUAUUUUUGUUCUGUCUCAUAAUGAAACCUAUCACUGCAUUUCUUCAACAUUGACUCUGACUGUCUCUGUAGGCCUGUCUGUCUGGUUUUAUCAGUUACAACAAAUCUCGUGUACUGACAAGGUUGGUGAUUUCCCGUAAAAGGUUGAAGUGAAUUCAUUUGAACAGAAAUGUUACUGACAAGAGGCCAUGGAAAUGUUAAUAUUUGUAACACUAACUGUAAAAAAAAGAAAAAAAAAGGGAAAAAAAUACUCAUUGAAGUAAAGUUUCAUUUUUCCAUGUUAUUAAAACAUGUUUUUUUUUCUACUUUUAUUUAAUUUCUUUCUUUCAUUCUCAUAACAAAACCUAUAACUGC
ensembl:lncRNA